rnacentral:misc_RNA from 1 species
GAUGAAGAACUUAGCGAAAUGCGAUAAGUAAUGUGAAUUGCAGAAUUCAGUGAAUCAUCGAAUCUUUGAACGCACAUUGCGCCCGCCAGUAUUCUGGCGGGCAUGCCUGUCCGAGCGUCAUUUCAACCCUCGAACCCCUCCGGGGGGUCGGCGUUGGGGAUCGGCACUUACCUGCCGGCCCCGAAAUACAGUGGCGGUCUCGCCGCAGCCUCUCCUGCGCAGUAGUUUGCACACUCGCACCGGGAGCGCGGCGCGUCCACGGCCGUAAAACAACCCAAACUUCUGAAAUGUUGACCUCGGAUCAGGUAGGAAUACCCGCUGAACUUAAGCAUAUCAAUAAGCGGAGGA